rnacentral:lncRNA from 7 species
UCCUAGUCCCUUCCUAAGACCGUAAGGAGUUGGAGAAGGCUUGAUGCAUAACCUAGCAUCAUCAACUAGGAUCAUAAGGAGUUGUAUAAGGCUUGAUGUCAUAACCUAGGAUCAUAUGGUGUUGGAGAAGCUUGUUCAUAACCUAGUAUUAUAAAGAGCUAAUGACUUAAAUGUGGUGUGCCCUAACCCAUGCAAGUUCUUCAACUAAACAAUGUUUUGUAGUCACUACUCUCCCCAUUAUUGUCAUCAUGUUGGAAUUAGGUAUGGAGGACCUAUGGACGCUCAACAUUGAGGUCUACCUUGUUUAAAACCCUCACAUGUGGUAGAUUAGUUAUUUCCUGUCCCUUUUGAGAAAAACACCCUCUCUGUUAUAUAGGGGGGUAGGCUAAACAUAAUCACGAGCAAAAAGAAAGGAAUUGACUUGGUUACUAUCCCCUCGACCUAAUCAAUUGAAUUAUGAACUUAUCAUGUAACACAAAUUUGGAUUAUAAUAGAAAAUGGCAAUAGACAGAAGUGGAAUUGGUGCUUGUCACACAAAAACACAAAACACAUGCACUUACACGUGUGCAUUUAGGUUUAGCGUCCUCCCUCUCAUGGUUCCUUACAAGAAGUUUUAAGAGACAAGACAUUUAUGUUGGACUUAGCCCUCUCCACUUCCCAUGUAAGGCUUAACCUCACUACUCCCAUCAUAUAUAAGUAGACCUUUAAGAUUUAUUCUAAAUUUUAUGGUACAGUGGCGAAGUCUAAUAAACUUAUAGAAACAAACUAAGGGUGUCAUUUUUAGAAUUGAUUCCAUGCUAACAAUUAUCUUAGUCAGAUUGCACACUCAAGAGUAAUCAACUUAUUGUUUUCUUGUUAUGCAAGUCACACUACUCCAUCAAACCAUGCUUCUACCUAGGCUAUUAAUCUUAAGAAGUAUUUAAAGUGUGUUUAGUUUGAUAAAUUCCUCAUUUUAAUGAAGGUACAAUGGUGCGUCAUGAGUUGAUACCACAAAUUUGACAAAAACUACUCCAUUCCAUGACUAGUUCUAAUUGUUAAGUUAUGAAAAUUUAGGUAAAAUAGAUGAAUCCAUUCCAAUCUACAAACUAAAUAAAAAGUUGAGCAAUAGUGCAAAGAAGAUGGACUAACUCAUUGGAUAAACCAAGGGGUGUUUGGGACUGCUUCAGGUUCCAACUCUAACAUGGAGCAUUUAUAAUAUAAAUUUAAAUAGUUUUAAAAAUAUUUUUAAUCUAGAUAAUAAACAAAAUGACUUAAUUAAAUGUCAUCUAAAGGUUGGCUACCCUAGCUAUACGAAUUUCUAGAAUGUCUAAUGACCUGCUCCCAUAACUUCAACACAUUUCCUUGAGCUAGAUAACCCUUCAUGCCUUUGGUGCUCUAAAGAGUUAUGUGAUAAGUAUAAUUAUUCAUCUUGUAAUAUAACGAAACAAAGUAAAGUAACAAUCACCCUAGAUGAGUGUUGGAUACUUGAUUUCAAUCCCCUGAAGGCGUUGAAAAUCAUGCAACACAAGUUAAAUAUGUGGACCUUCGUCCUUGACUUAACACUUCUUCAAAGUGUUAAAGUGUAAUACUCAAAUUUGUAUACACAGAAUAGAGAGUGAAUUCCUCAUUUUAUGUGUCUUAUUUGCAUCAUAAA